rnacentral:rRNA from 1 species
AACUUAGUGGCGGACGGGUGAGUAACGCGUGAGUAACCUGCCUUUCAGAGGGGGAUAACGUCCUGAAAAGGACGCUAAUACCGCAUGAUAUAUUUGUGCCGCAUGGUAUGGAUAUCAAAGGAGCAAUCCGCUGGAAGAUGGACUCGCGUCCGAUUAGCUAGUUGGAGGGGUAACGGCCCACCAAGGCGACGAUCGGUAGCCGGACUGAGAGGUUGAACGGCCACAUUGGGACUGAGACACGGCCCAGACUCCUACGGGAGGCAGCAGUGGGGGAUAUUGCGCAAUGGGGGAAACCCUGACGCAGCAACGCCGCGUGAAGGAAGAAGGUUUUCGGAUUGUAAACUUCUUUUCUAAGGGACGAAGAAGUGACGGUACCUUAGGAAUAAGCUCCGGCUAACUACGUGCCAGCAGCCGCGGUAAUACGUAGGGAGCAAGCGUUGUCCGGAUUUACUGGGUGUAAAGGGUGCGUAGGCGGCAAUGCAAGUCAGAUGUGAAAUGCACGGGCUCAACCCGUGAGCUGCAUUUGAAACUGUGUUGCUUGAGUGAGGUAGAGGCAGGCGGAAUUCCCGGUGUAGCGGUGAAGUGCGUAGAGAUCGGG